rnacentral:rRNA from 1 species
GACGAACGCUGGCGGCGUGCUUAACACAUGCAAGUCGAACGGUAAGGCCCUUCGGGGUACACGAGUGGCGAACGGGUGAGUAACACGUGGGUGAUCUGCCCUGCACUUCGGGAUAAGCCUGGGAAACUGGGUCUAAUACCGGAUAGGACCAUUGCCUGCAUGGGUGGUGGUGGAAAGCUUUUGCGGUGUGGGAUGGGCCCGCGGCCUAUCAGCUUGUUGGUGGGGUGAUGGCCUACCAAGGCGACGACGGGUAGCCGGCCUGAGAGGGGGACCGGCCACAAUGGGACUGGGAUACGGCCCAGACUCCUACGGGAGGCAGCAGUGGGGAAUAUUGCACAAUGGGCGCAAGCCUGAUGCAGCAACGCCGCGUGAGGGAUGACGGCCUUCGGGUUGUAAACCUCUUUCAGCAUCGACGAAGCGCAAGUGACGGUAGGUGCAGAAGAAGGACCGGCCAACUACGUGCCAGCCGCCGCCGUAA